rnacentral:misc_RNA from 1 species
UGGAGCUGCCCCGGCCGC